ensembl:snoRNA SNORA63 Small nucleolar RNA SNORA63
UGGCAGGUUGGGUAUGUGGCACUAUAGCUGCAAAGUGCUAUAUUGUCCUUUCCUCCUGCUGAGAGCAAUUGCUUCCCACAAUCUCUGUCUUACUCAAUUCUGUAGUAAGACAGGGACGCUUGGUCUCAAACAU